AAAGAAAAAAUGAUCAUGGAAAUCCUAAAUAAGCAUGGGAAGAGAUUCUCACCCUGAACCCAUUUAGUAGCUGAUUUUUUUCUCAUAAGUACCUGAAUAAUUACGAUUAUAAGAAAAUUAGAGGAAAGAAAACAAUAGCAUAUGGUUUGAUCUUCUAAUUUUUUUGUAGUAAUUAAACACGAACAUGAGGUCGUAUAUUGGAAAAGGGCGGAAGUUAGCAACAGCGCUAUCAAUUUAAGCUCAUUUUCUUUCUGCAUAUGUAAAAAAAAAAUCUGGAAAAUUAACUUUUUUUAGUAUUUUUUUUUUUUACAAAUACUACAGAAAGAUCCAUAUACUUCAAUCAGUCUACCCAAUGUUGCGCUAUUUUAUCUCUCAAGUCAGCCAGGAGAUAGAGCUGUAUCUUUUUCAUAAGUUUCUCAUGUUUUUUUUUAACUUAUUUAUUCAUGCAUAAUAAUAUAUGAAUAAAUAAGUUAAAAAAAAACAUAAGAAAAAUUUAAUGAAAAAGAAUACACACGGAGAAUUAAUAUAUUAUUAUAUAUAAUGUAUUUUUUCGAAGUAAGAAAGAAAAUUGUAUUUAAUUUAUUCAAUACAGUUCUCUUUUUAUGAUGGCUGGAAUCUAUCGGCAUUUUUUAUAAAAGUUACAUUAAAAAGUUACUGUAAAAAUAAAAAAUGUUUUAGUUUCAUGGU